rnacentral:rRNA from 1 species
UUCCCCUUCGGGGGCAGGGGUGACAGGUGGUGCAUGGUUGUCGUCAGCUCGUGUCGUGAGAUGUUGGGUUAAGUCCCGCAACGAGCGCAACCCUUGUCCUUAGUUGCCAGCAUUCAGUUGGGCACUCUAAGGAGACUGCCGGUGACAAACCGGAGGAAGGUGGGGAUGACGUCAAAUCAUCAUGCCCCUUAUGAGUUGGGCUACACACGUGCUACAAUGGACGGUACAAAGGGCAGC